ACGGAAAGACCCCGUGAACCUUUACUAUAGCUUGACACUGAACAUUGAGCCUUGAUGUGUAGGAUAGGUGGGAGGCUUUGAAGCGUGGACGCCAGUCUGCGUGGAGCCGGCCUUGAAAUACCACCCUUUAAUGUUUGAUGUUCUAACGUGGACCCGUGAUCCGGGUUGCGGACAGUGUCUGGUGGGUAGUUUGACUGGGGCGGUCUCCUCCUAAAGAGUAACGGAGGAGCACGAAGGUUGG
rnacentral:rRNA from 1 species